rnacentral:rRNA from 1 species
UGCGGGCGUAGGAAACUUGAGGGGAGCUGCCCCCAGUACGAGAGGACCGGGGUGGACGGAUCUCUAGUGUGCCAGUUGUCCCGCCUAGGGGCAUCGCUGGGUAGCUAUAUUCGGAUGGGAUAAGCGCUGAAGGCAUCUAAGCGCGAAGCCCACCCCAAGAUGAGGUUUCCCAUCCUAGCGGAACUUCGGUUCCGUCAUGGAGUAAGACCCCUUCGAGAUCAGGAGGUUGAUAGGCCGGAGGUGUAAGCACGGCAACGUGUUCAGCUUACCGGUACUAAUCGGUCGAGGACUUCAACUC